UUUCCCUUUAAUUCUUUUCCCCUUUGUCGGUUUGUUUAUGUGGAGCAAAACCUCAACUCUUCUUUCAUUAUCCUCAUGACUCUCCAAGGAACCACCGAAACCCCAAAUCAGAUUUUCUCUUUCUCCUCCCCGUGAACCCUUCGUUUCUCUCACGCUCGCCUGCGUCACGCCUCUCCGGCGUUUUUCAAGGCUGCCGGAAAUCUGCAUCACUCUGUUCUCCUCUGUUUCGUUGCUGCUAGUGUUGUUCGUGGGUGUUCCCCCUGUGUUGCUGCUCCUCGUACGUCGCGUCGCACCACGACCGCAGUUUCGUCGGAGCUUUCUCUUCCCUCGUCCGCGCUACAGUGGUUCGCGGUUUCUCUCUCUUUGUUCGCCUUGUGGCUGGUGGUUCUCCCUCCUCCCUCCCGUGGUGUUGUUUUCGGCGCUGCUGUUGAGUGGUGCUGCGCCACCACCGCGCACCACAACUGCUACUGCUGGCCUUACUUCUCUCUUUUCGCGUUGCUGUGUUCCUGCGCUGCCGCCGUCGUGGCGUGGGACUCGCCACGCGAGCUGGUCGAGUUUCCCCCUCGAUGUAUCUUAUAUGUUUCAGGUUGAAACCGUGAGUUAUUCUUGUGCAAGCUGAAGCGGAUACGAGAUGGUGCAGUAUUAUAUUUGUUAUUGAAGUGAGGACGCUCCACUUGUAAUAGUUAAAUCGUUUAUUUUCUAUAAUGUAUUUUCUUCAUUUAAGAACCGUUAGCUAGUGCUCCUGAUUCUCUGUUGGUUGUUGCUCCGCGAAAGCGUUGAGGUUGUUGAGCUUUGGGAUUUGGAAAUAUUUUAUAAAUUGAAAUUGCAACAGGUUCAUAUUA